UGAGGCAGCUGGUCACAUUGCAGAUGCAGACAGGGAGCGAUGAACGCUGCUACUCACUUCACCUCUUCCGUUUUCCAUUUGUAUUCAGUCUGGGACUCCAGCCCACAGAUUGGCGCCACUCACGUUAAGGCUUGGUUUUUCCUCCUCAGGGCAUUCACUGAUAAGGAAAGCCAUUGUGAGCCAAGACCCAUCUGUGCAUCCCUGAGAGGGAAUCAAGAAGUUUGUCACUGCUUUCCCCUGCUGCCUUCUGGAGUGAUGCCCCAAUCUCACCUGCCAGCACCAUGUGCCACCCCAAGAAGACACCAAGCGAUCACAUGCGUCCUUUUUCCUUACUUUCAAGGAUUUCUCUGUAGCCUUGGAGCCUGUCCUGGAUCUAGCUCUUUUAGAUCAAGGUGGCCUUGAACUUGCAGAGAUCGGCCUGCCUCUGCCUCCCGAGUGCUGGGAUUAAAGGCAUGCAUCACCACUGCCCAGCUCAAAAAAGUGUUAUUUCAAUAGGCAAUAAGUUGAAACAAGCCCAAUGCCCAUGCAUGGAGGACCAUGGAGGAAAAAUACACGGUAGAUAUGUACAAUGCAAUGUUACGCGGCCAUGAGUGGAAGGGAGAAUUAGACUUACUGCACACAACGCCUUAACUUGGAAAAGAAAAGCCGCACAGUGAGAAUUCUUCAGCACAACUGCACCUUUCAUCGCCUGCUGGAUGUGGUCCAGGGACCUAAGCUGCCAAGUUCAGACACCUUCUUGACUCACACCAAAGAUUAAUGAUGUGGACUCUCGUGGGAGUUGUGCAAAGCAGAACCAGGCUUUCUUAAUGAUUUCAGAACGUGAGAAAUUGAGAGAAAGAGAGAGGGAAAAUUCUCGA